UACGUAGGGCGCAAGCGUUGUCCGGAAUUAUUGGGCGUAAAGAGCUCGUAGGUGGUUCGUCGCGUCUGCUGUGAAAGUCCGAGGCUUAACCUCGGAUCUGCAGUGGGUACGGGCGGACUAGAGUGCGGUAGAGGAGAUCGGAAUUCCUGGUGUAGCGGUGGAAUGCGCAGAUAUCAGGAGGAACACCGGUGGCGAAGGCGGAUCUCUGGGCCGUAACUGACGCUGAGGAGCGAAAGCAUGGGGAGCGAACAGG
rnacentral:rRNA from 1 species